rnacentral:rRNA from 1 species
CAGCAGCCGCCGCGGUAAUACGAAGGGGGCUAGCGUUGCUCGGAACGACUGGGCGUAAAGGGCGCGUAGGCGGAUUGUUUAGUUAGGCGUGAAAUUCCUGGGCUUAACCUGGGGACUGCGCUUAAUACAGGCAGCCUAGAGUGAGGAAGAGGGUUGUGGAAUUCCCAGUGUAGGGGUGAAAUUCGUAGAGAUGUGGAGGAACACCAGUGGCGAAGGCGACUCUCUGGUCUGUAACCGACGCUGAGGAGCGAAAGCGUGGGGAGCGAACAGGAUUAGAUACCCCCGUAGUCCCUGUCUCUUAUAU